CGAACGAGUUCAUUGAUUAUUGAUUGAUUGAUGUAUGUCAGUGAAAUUUAUACAAAGCAUCAACUCAAUAUUAUAAAAAUUGGUUAUAUUCUCAAAUUGAAAGUACCAUUGAUGAAGAAAAGCAGUAUACUACAUACUACAUAUAUGCUACAUGCAUAUGUACAUAAGUUUAUUUGGAUGAAAUAAACAUAGGAACAUUCUAAAUGAAAAAUACACAAGUACGAACCAAAUUAAAUAUUAAUUAAAAAAUAAAAUGAUGAAUGACAUUAAACACAAAAGGAAAUUACACCAAUAGAAAUAAUAACAUAAAUAGACUGUAGUUAAUUGAAAAAAAGCAAUGAAAAUGAUGGAACAAGAUGAUACAAGUGUAACAUACCAAAGAAGAAAUACACAAAUGGAAAACGAGGAAGUAUUACAGGAGAGUUUAACGGGCGACCGAGGAGGGAUUGAUAUUUCAUACGUUCUAGCCCACUUUCCCAUUGGAUACAAGUGUAUAACGUUCGGACAAGAAUAGAGCGAGUUAGUCAUCCCGCGUUUCUCCUGAUUCUGAUUCUCUCUUCAUGUGGACGGUAAAGGAACGAUACUGCCAAAAAACGAAUUCUUCGUGAUAUGCGUCACUUUCUACAAAUAUUUCUCCCAUAAAAUACUCGUGCUUCGACCGAUUAGUAUUCUCGUGUUACAAUUUUCCAAAGGUUACUAUUAGUCUGUGUAUAGCCAAAAAUACAUUUUUAUUUCUCAAAUGGUAUCGUCGAGUCAUGGGUAUUUAAUAAAGAUUUAGAUAAAUAACCAAAAUUUAGAUUGUUUUUAUUUUAUAUUUUAUAUUUUUCAUGAAAGAGAUUAGUAAUAAAAUUCAAUUAAAUUAAAAGUUUCAAAAUUAAAUAAUUUAAUCCUAAAUUGUUAUGGUUUCCAAUAAUCCAAUGACUUGAAAAUUGACGAUGCUUUCUGGCUAUUUUGAAAUUUUCAAAUAGAAUAAGGAUAUAGUUUUAUUGUACUAAAAAUAUGACUAUCAUUUUUGGCAGAAGUCACACACAAAAAUAUCAGGAUGAUUCACUGGAAAUAUCUUAUGAAUAGAUAUAAAUUAAAUUUUUGAACAUUUAUAAUUGUACAUUUUACUAAACAAGCAGACCAAAUUUAAUUUUCAAUCGUGUGUUAAGAAUUAUUAUUUCCUCUGUAAUAACAUUUGUUUCUUCAAUUGUAAAAAUGUAACUUGCAUAAACAAAACUUUCCCUAAACCCAAUCAAAAUGUACAAUCAAUCAAAAGAACAAACCACAAUUGUCAUAAUCUACUUUCCUAAUUACAUCGAUACAAAUCAGCGAUCCCAAUUUUAUUAAUUUAUCAAACUCAAAUUCUCGGAGGAAUCAUUUCAAUGCAUUUAUGCAUUAUCCUAAUACGUUAUAAUUCACGUGAGUAUCGUGUACCAGAAAGGACAAUAUUGUAAAUUUGCC